rnacentral:pre_miRNA from 1 species
UCUUCAUUUCACAUACUCUCUCAUCACGGGACCGGCCAAGAGAGUCUGUGAAAUGAAGAGA